rnacentral:rRNA from 1 species
AUUGAACGCUGGCGGCAGGCCUAACACAUGCAAGUCGAGCGAGCGGCGGACGGGUGAGUAAUGUCUGGGGAUCUGCUCGAUAGAGAGGGAUAACUACUGGCAACGGUGGCUAAUACCGCAUACUACUGUUUGAACCCUGAUGGGAUUAGCUAGUAGGUGGGGUAAAGGCUCACCAAGGCGACGAUCUCUAGCUGUUCUGAGAGGAUGAUCAGCCACACUGGGACUGAGACACGGCCCAGACUCCUACGGGAGGCAGCAGUGGGGAAUAUUGGACAAUGGGCGCAAGCCUGAUGCAGCCAUGCCGCGUGUAUGAAGAAGGCCUGAGGGUUGUAAAGUACUUUCAGCGGGGAGGCGUUACCCGCAGAAGAAGCAACGGCUAACUCCGUGCCAGCAGCCGCGGUAAUUC